rnacentral:rRNA from 1 species
UGUAGUGUUUGGAGAGUUCGAUUCGGCGCCUGACAACAAUCUAAAUUUCGCUGGAACGCGGUUGCGAAGAUGGUUUUACACCAGUCUGAUUGUGGUCAGUGUCGAAAUGAUCGCUUCCGGAGUCGAGUUGUUUGGAAACGCAGCUCAAAGCGGGUGGUAAACUUCACCUAAAGCUAAAUACGGCUACGAGACCGAUAGCAAACAAGUACUGUGAAGGAAAGUUGAAAAGCACUUUGAAAAGAGAGUGCAAGAGAACGUGAAACCGUUAUAGUGGAAGCGGAUGGAGCCGAUGUAUUUAGUACGUAUUCAGCCGUUAAUGGGUGCAAUUUUUUGAGUUGAAGUUCUGCAAAGUCUUCGCUUGAUUUUGUUGUGCUCGUUGGCGGUGCAUUUGCGUACAAAGUGCGCCGAAUCGGUCGAUUCAGUCGUUUGAAGCCCAAAAAGAGGACUUUGCUUCGGCUUAGAAACCUGUUUGGGUGAAUGGCGAAUUGGGUUGAUUGUAAGCAGAAGUUGGUGUAAUCGUGACAGUGGUUUCGGAUUUGAGUGUUUUUAGUACGACACAUGUGUUUUGCUUUUAACAUUUGAGUUUGGAGUUAUUGUUGCUCGACUUCCAUUCGGUGUCUCGUCGGUCACCCAUUUGACCCGUCUUGAAACACGGACCAAGGAGUUUAAGGUAUACGCAAGUCAUUGGACGUUAAAAUUCAAAGGCGUAAUGAAAGUGGGACACUUGGUGUCUGCGAUGUGAAUCGGUCGUGUUUCGACACUACUGAUGCAACAUCGACCCGUGAUUAGGAUUUAUUCUGUUGCGGAGUCUGAGCGUAUGCUUUGAGACCCGAAAGAUGGUGAACUAUGCCCGAACAGGACGAAGUCAGAGGAAACUCUGAUGGAAGUCCGAAGCGGUUCUGACGUGCAAAUCGAUCGUC